AGGACGAACGCUGGCGGCGUGCUUAACACAUGCAAGUCGAGCGGAAAGGCCCUUCGGGGUACUCGAGCGGCGAACGGGUGAGUAACACGUGAGCAAUCUGCCCUUAGCUUCGGGAUAGCUCCGGGAAACCGGAAUUAAUACCGGAUAUGACUAUGGCUGACAUCAGCCACGGUGGAAAGUUUUUCGGCUAGGGAUGAGCUCGCGGCCUAUCAGCUAGUUGGUGGGUAACGGCCUACCAAGGCGACGACGGGUA
rnacentral:rRNA from 1 species